UUUUUGCUAUCUGCGAUCUGGAUGAUUCGAAUCUGCAGCAGGUGCGAGCCGAACGUAGUGAGGCACCGGAGCCGUUUACGGCGACGGCCCGAAGGGCGAGCGAAGCGAGUCAUCCUGCACGACCCACCA
rnacentral:sRNA from 1 species